UCCGAGUCAGAGUCGGAGGACGAGGAGGC
rnacentral:piRNA from 1 species